rnacentral:rRNA from 1 species
CUACGGGGGGCACCAGGGGUGAAUCUUUUGCAAUGUACGCAAGUACGACAAAGCGAACCAAAGUGCUUUUCAUUAUGAAAAGCUUUUGUUCAUUCUAAAAAGAUGGACGAAUAAGGACUGGGCAAGACCGGUGCCAGCCGCCGCGGUAAUACCGGCAGUUCUAGUUGCAGCCAACAUUAUUGGUUCUAAAACAUCCGUAGCUUGUUCAUUAAGUUCCCUGUGAAAUCCCAUAUCUCAAGUAUGGGGCCGGCGGGGAAUACUGGUGGGCUAGAGACCGGUAGGCGUAAGGAGUACAAUCAAGGUAGUGGUUAAAUACGUUAAUCUUGGUUGGACUAACAAUGAGCGAAGGCACCUUACGAGGACGGAUCUGACAGUGAGGGAUGAAGGCCAGGGGCGCAAAACGGAUUAGAUACCCCUGUAGUC